CGAGCCGGCCGGGUGACCGCGGCCUCCCGCACCGCCGCCCCGUGCGGGUCUGGCGGGGGUCGAGGAAAGUCCGGACUCCACAGGGCACGGUGGUUGCUAACAGCAACCCGGAGCGAUCCGCGGGAAAGUGCAACAGAAAGUAGACCGCCAGCCCGUGCGGGUUGGUAAGGGUGAAAGGGUGCGGUAAGAGCGCACCGGCGUGCGUGGUGACACGCGCGGCCAGGUAAACCCCACCGGGAGCAAGGCAAGAGCCCCCGCCGUGUGCGCGGGGGUCGUCGGACGUGCCGAGAGGCUGCCCGCCCAGUCCGAAGGUAGCUGCUUGAGGCGCCCAGCGAUGGGUGGCCCAGAUGGAUGGUCGCCGCCCCACGGGGUACAGAAUCCGGCUUACAGGCCGGCUCGUUCG
rnacentral:RNase_P_RNA from 1 species